UCCCUCUCAGGGUUGCACCUGGAAGGUUUCCAGUAUUCUACCAGUCUCAGCUAUGGGAGGGAGGGUCAAGCAGAGGCAUAGCCAUUCCAUUCCUAGUUUGGGCAGAGGCUAGCGAGUGGAAGGCAAUCUGCUAAAGUC
rnacentral:snoRNA from 1 species